rnacentral:lncRNA from 1 species
AGGUUCUUUUUCUCCGCCAAUGGUGAUAGAUUUGGCACCAAAAAAAGAAGAGAAGAAACAUGACAGUCAUUGUUUCCACAGUGCAAAGCCCAGAGUCUUCCCUGGAGAAGAGUGCUGAUGACGAGGAUUCAUGUCUCACAACCCAGCACACAGGAAUGAUGUCACACAGUGUUCAAAUUCUAUCUUCAGCAUAGUGAGCCCAAACAAAACCAAUUCCUUUCAUGCCCUCUACUGGAUAUUUGAAGUUAAACGUCAAUAACACUGCAAAGUAACCAAAAUAAUGAUACACAUA